rnacentral:tRNA from 1 species
GGAAGUGCUUGUUUAGCUGGUGCUGACCGCGGUCUUCAAAACCGUUGGGCCGUUUGUCAAGCAAACGGUCGGUGGGUUCGAUUCCCAUGCACUUCCGCCA